CAAAAACAUAGCUAUAUGAUUUUUAUAUAUAGUUAUUUCUGCUCCAUGGUAUAGCUAAAUAGCCGCAGUACUCUGACUGUGCAAAGGUAGCAUAAUCAGUUGGCUCUUAAUUAGAGUCUGGUAUGAAAGAACACAUGGAAAGUAACUGUCUUGGAGUAUUAUUUUGAAGUUGGUUGUGAGUGCAAAUCCUCACAUAAUCUACAAAAGACGAGAAGACCCUAGAAACUUAUAGUAAUAGUUUUGUUGGGGCGACAGAAUUACAGUAAACUAAUUCUCUAAAGCGGGACGCUUAGCAGGUAGUUAAAGUUACUCUAGGGAUAACAGCAUAAUAUAUCUGUUUGUGACCUCGAUGUUGGACUAGGUAAAGUAUUCCUUAGAAAGGAAUAUGUCAGCUCUGUUCGAGCAAAUUAACCUACGUGAUCUGA
rnacentral:rRNA from 1 species